UGUGGGGGUGCUUGUGCAAGGGGUGAGUGUGCAUGUGCUGCAAGUGUGCACGGGGCAGGAGUGCACGUGCAGAGCAUUAGUGCACAUGCAUCUGAACGUGAGGAGGCAACUUGUGUUACACAAAGGUGUCCCCCCCUCCCUCAAGCUCCCAGGGGUCCUUGUAGCAGGACCCCCACACCAAGGCAACCCCAGUGCCAGCCGUGCCCUUGGGGACCCUUCUGUGGCUCCCUGAGGGGGUGCAGGGGCAACACCCCAUGUCAGGCUCCCAGAGGCUGCCCUGAGCUCCAUGAGGACACGCAGCUGGUGGCCCUUCCCACACAGGGCACACUAGCAUGGCCCAGCUUGAAGAAAGACCCCCCCAAAUCCUGACCGAAUUUCCAAGGCACCUUAAAUGCCCAAGCAAAAUCCGGCAGGAGCUGGCAGCUGCAGAGAGGGACCUGCCACAAAAUGAUAACAUCUUCCAUGCUAUAUAUAGCGCUGUCUUUAUAUACAUAUACAGAUAUAUAUUUAUUUAUGCUGCUUCUAGGAGGAUGCCAGGGAGAAGGAAACACACAGGUAGGGCAUGUGUAGGACUGCAGGGGUGAAGUGUGCAAGAUGUGCAAGGUGUGAGCACAUGCAUGGGGCAUGAGUGCAUAUGCAAGCGUGUGCGGGGUGUGAGCGUGCAAGGUGUGAGCGCCUGUGCGAGGUGUGAGCGUAUGCAUAAAGCAGGAGGUGUGUGCAAGGUGCAAGCGCUUGUACAAGGUGUGCAAGCUGUCUGCAUGCAGGGUGCAAGCGUGCGCGUGCAAGACAAGACCGUGCAUGCAAGGCAUGUCUUUGCAGGUGACGAGCACACGUGCAAAGCACAAGUGGGUGCAGAGGGGCUCAGGGGUGCUGUGUCCCCAGCUGGGACAGCAAUGCCACCUCAGGGGACCCAUUGGGGCACAGGGGUGGGGGCACUUGCAGCACCUGAAGCAAUGUGGGGUGCGAUGGAAAGAGGGGAAGAGCCACCCCAGGCUCCCUGCAGCCGGGAGCGGGGAAGGUGCCGGAGCAUUGUCAGAGGAGGGAGGAUUUCUUUAUUUUGAUGAUAAUUUCCUAGUGUUUGGGGCUGUCAGGUUCCUGGUUAGCAGCUCCCCCUCCGUGGAGCUGCUCCAUGUAGUUGACACUGCAAUUGUUUUCUGAAGAGAACACGCGACUCUCUUCUUAUGUAUUCCCUUUCCCAGUGUUUGUAUUUGCUUCAAAGUCUCCUCAUCACCCUGUUUGGUGACAAAAACUCAUGUCUGAAGAUCAGGGUAAUGUGUUGCUUUUCAAAGCCCGUGGAGGAGGGGGUUGGUAGACAUGGGUUUGCUGCAUUAUUUACUUCCCCACGGCACCCUGCCUCCCUGGCAGCCCUGCCUGUUCCCCCCCACUGCCAGGUGCUGGGGCACCAGCUCUGCCAUCUGGGACCCCCUGGGCGCUUAGCAUCCUACCCCACGCUCUGGGAUAGUUGGGGACACCCAGGCACAGCAGCACUCAGGACAAGCAGGAGGUUGGGGGGUACCCACACUGUGCCCAGCAGCUGUUUAGCCAGGCAGGAGCCCCCAGGUAGGAUUUGGAGCCCUCAUACCCUGCCACGGAGCAGAGCAGACACCCCCCAGCUCUGCCAGUGGCACAUGGCAUAGUGACAAGGUGGUCCAUCCCUUGCCCACGUCCAGGCUGGGCAAGGGGGGGGUCAAUGGGUCUGCACCCGAGGCUCCCCGUUGCAUGGCGGCACUUGCUAACCGAUUGUGUGCCUGUGCCAUGGCAGGCAGACUGGCCCCAGCCCCAUGAGCUGCUGGUACCCUGUGGUCACCUUGCCUGGUGGCCUGUCCCCUCCAGUGGGACCCCCGCAGAUGUGUCCUUGCAGCUGGCAAGCAAAUCAGGGCAGGAAGCAGAGUGCGGGAGACGGGAGGGAAUGCGGGAGCGGUGUGUGCUACCCUGAGCUCAGCACCGGUGCUCAGCACCCUCCAAACGGCAAGUGUGCAGGCAUACAGUAUGUGUGGCUGGGUGUGCACACUGAAUGCAGCUGUGUGUGCAUGCUUGGGUGUGCACACUGAAUGCAAUGCGGUCAGGUGUGCACAUGCAUGUUGAAUGCAGCUGGGUGUGCACAGCUGUGCGUGCACGCUGAUUGCAGCUGGAUGUGCACGGCUGUGUGCGCAUGCUGAGCACGACUAGGUGUGAGUUGCAGCACCCGCUCGCACAGGCAUGGGACGUGUGCUGGGGAAUCGCGCUGGCAGGUGUGCUGGCACAGCCUCCCCCUCCACGUGUGUGAGGUGCCACGAGCACAGGCAGUUCUCUAUCUAAUUGAUCAAUUAAUUAUCUCCGGCAUUCAGCUGCAUAUUGGUUUUAGAUGAAGGGAUAGGCUAACAAGCAGAUUAGGCGUGUGUCUUCAAGGGAGUGAUCGAGCGGAGACGUGGGAGGAAGGAAGAGAGAUAGGAGAUAGGCGAAUGCAGAAUAAGGGCCCCUUGCUAUUGCAAAGACUGGAGCCAGGAGCUGGAGCUGGCACCAGGGUCACAGCUGCAGCGAUGCAGAGGCACUGUGCAGAGGAUGCUCCAGAAAUGUUGAUGCCGAGACAGAGGAUGCUCCAGAAAUGAUGGGCCAAGGCAGGAGGAUGCUCCAGAAAUGGUGAUGCCGAGAUACAGGGUGCUCCAGAAAUGAUGGGGUGAGGAAGGAGGAUGCUCCAGAAAUACUGCUGCUGUGGCAGGAGGAUGAUGCUGUGGCAUGAGGAGGAUGCUCCAGAAUCAGUGCUGAGUGCCCAGUGCCCACCAUGGUCUGCAGCCCUGGCCAGGCUCAUCCUUUCUCCAUCCCCUCUGCCCUGCCCAGGAUGGCUGGGGCCAGUCAGGGGAGACUCCUGGGUGCCACCGGUCCUCGUGGGUCUGGGCAGGCAGCAGGUGGCGUGACCAUGCAUGCUGGGGAGCAGGGUCAGCACAGCUGAUUCUCCUGGAGCUCUUGUGUUUUCUAGGACAAUCGGCACCCCAAAACUGCUGGGGUCGGGCAAACGCAGGCAACUUUCCACUGGUGUUCAGGAGAAAGGAUGGCAUCAGUGUCAGCCCCCGCUCACCCCUGACUUCCCCGGUGGUGCCUGAUAGUAGCAAGCCCCUAGGGAUGGCCCGAGGAGGUGGCCGCGGGUAUCAGCCAUCCCACCUAGCAUCGGGGCUCAUUAACGUGACAGGCUGUCACUCAGGCUGCAGCCAGCCCUGGGGGCACACCUGGGGCUGAAGAGACCCCCACCAGCAUAGGGCCGGUGGCAGAGCCUUUGCAUCCCUCCAGCACGCUUUACAGCCCGUGGGGACAGCGGGGAGGGCUGCACACCCUCACCGAGCCUCCCUGGGCACCCGGGCGCAAUGUCUCCCUGCAGGUUGUGGGGGCAGGGGGGGGGGCCGCAGCCAGGCACAGCGUGUGGGCAGGGGAAGGCAGCAGUGCCUGCCGCAGUCCCUGCCUGUCGCCCCAAGACCACAGUCCCAGAGUGCCUCGUUUGCUGCCAGUCUGUGUCAGGUGCUGAUCCCCACCUGUCAGCGCGGGAUAUGACAGUCCAUUAAUGACCGUUGUGGAGCAGGAUAGCUCUGCACACCGGGGAGGAAUAAUUGUUUGACUUUCUUUACUUCCCAUCCUGCUGUCACUUGAUCUUCGGAGUCCUGUCAACCAUGCGGCAUCCUCCAGCCCCCUCCCGCAGCACAAACAAGCACCGCACGGCUCAGAGCACACACACGCACUGUAUCCUGCAAGCAUUGAGCAGUCACACACGGGAGCUCACGUACAUGUAUGCACACGCGGUGUGCACACACAUCCCUUAGCCUGUCUGCAUGCAGCAAUGAAGUACAUGCACGUACACAUGCAAAUGCAGCCUAUAUCCUGCAUGCAUGUUCCUGCACAAACAUACACAGCAUAUACACACACAUCCUUUAUUCUGGGAGCAUUCAGCACUAAGAAACACACCCACAUGCUCGAACACACCACCCGUUCAGCGUGCGCAUGCACACACACAUGAUCAGCCCUGGGACAUGUAUGUACAGGCACACACAGUCCAUAUACAGCACCGGGACACACAAACACACCCAUACAGCGUUCCCACACCUGUCACCUCCAUCCCACAUGCAUUUGCAGGCAGGGAGCACACGCAUGCCAUUGCCUGGGCACGUGAGGUACCAGCACGUCCCAGUGUUUUUGCCAGUCGGGAACUCUGGCUUGUCCUAGCUGAGCUCCAGCCACCCCCCUCAGCCUGGCACAGGCACAGCUGUGGCCCCAAAACCUGCCCAGGGAGGGGGGGUGUGCCCCCAAAUGUGCAUACUGCAUGCACUGAGCGUGCAUUAGUGUGCAGAGGUGUGUGCCCAGCCACGUCCAUUCACCCAGGGCCGGGCUCCCAUCAUGUCCCACAGCACAGGAGGAGCUGAAAAGAGACAAGCAGGGUUAGGCUGAGGUUGUGGGGCAGGCGAUGUACUGCCGAGGAGGAGGAGGAGGAAGGGGGCAAUGCUAGCUGAGGUUGCGGUCACUGCACAGCCAGGGGAUGGGUUGGCUGGCCACGACAAUGCCGCACAGGGAAGGCUCAUCGCGUCUGUCGGGGCCCUCGAGGGCAGAAAGCAUUUUUCUCGUUAGCCCAGACGUGCUUGCCACUCUCGGGCUGCCUGCCUGAUGCCCGCAGCCGUUCCUCCUCCCCGCUGCUCCCGCCGCUUGCCUCGGCAUAAUUAAAGAUCCAACGACCUUUGCCGGCUGCCUGAGACGCUGGAACAAAUGAACGGUAAGCGCCAGAUUACAGCCUGGCUCGGCAGCUCCGCAAAUCCCUUUAAUGAGACGUUUAGGCAGGGCCAGCGGGGUGCCCGGCUGCCAGGGUGGGCUGGCACGGGCGGUGGCGGCACCUCGGCCAGCCUGGCCAUUGCUUGGGGACAAUGGCACCGAUGGAUCCCAGUCCUGACUCCAUCCCUGUCCUUCUGGGCAAGGGUCUUCAGGGCACCGGCCCCACAGGCAGCCUGGUAGCCAGUCCUCGUUGCAGUGGUCACCGGGGCUCCAGCUCCCCCCCAUCUUGCUUUGCACUCACAUAUGUCCCGCGGGAACAACGCAGUGAACAGCACUGGGGAGAGGGCUAAUGGCACCAGGACCAGCAUCCUGCAGGGACACGGGGUCCCCAGCCACAGGGCUCGGGAACGGGCACAGCAAGCCCAGCCUGGGGCUGCUGGGAGGUUUAUCCCUUCCGAUUGUAAUAUCAAAAAAAGAAAAAGCCUGAAUGACUGAUGGGGCCGUAAGGAUGCAAAUCAAUAAUUGACACCACGAACAAUGUCUCCACUCAUAUUAGUGCCAAAUUAAGCUGUUUACUCAAACUUUUGCCGCACAAGGAGAAGCCGGGGCCGGCGCGGGGAGCCGAAGAUGGAUGGCAUGCUCGGGGGCCCGGAGGUGUGAUUUUUCUUGCCGUGACAGACAGUUUGCAACAACGAUGGCCUUCCCCUCCUCACCUUCAAUUUUGGAAGGUGGAGAUGUGACAAGGGGACUCGGAGAGCACCCAGUGUCCAUGGCAUUAAGUGAUUCACUGCCCCCAUCUCGCUCUGCUUUCUGCUCACCAUGUCCAAGAGCCUGCUGGUAACCACAGCACACUCCAUGUCCUCCGGCCAUUUGAGUCCCUCCCCACGGCCGUGACAUCUUCCCCGUUCCCCACCAGCUGGUGAGUUGUUGGCCAAGUACACAUUUCCAGCAAAAUUUGAGGGAAGACCAAGAUGACCAGUGAAUUCAGGUCAAGCUCAGCCAGUACAGAAAUGAAACCAGGGAUGCAACGCAGGAGAGCAGCAAUAUUUUCCAACCUAGUGAUUCCAACAUGGGGUUUUCCAAAUUGACGAUCUCUGGCUAGCAGAGCAAAACCCAUUGGCUAGGGCACACAGUGCCCUGCACCCUCUUGGUGCUCAGCAUCACCCAAGCCCUGGGAUGCUCACAUUUGGGACGCAGUGUGACAGCUGGGCAGCAUGGAGACCUGAGGAUGGAAGAGCCAGGGAUGCUCCCUCUUCCCAGAGUGGCGCAGGCAGAGAGAGGGCAGAGGCGGGGGCCGGCAACAUCCACCUCAUGCCUUUUAAUAAAACAUGAAUUAGGUGCCAACGCAUAUUAGAUUCACUUCCCUGGUGACAGAAAAUCAAAGGCUUCUCCCAUCUUUUCUAGAGGCGCGCUCCUGAUUGAUCUGGAAGAAGCAGCUCAGUGCGAGGGAAGGAGUCUAUACACACCGAAACAGCUCUUUAAUUUCUUAAUUUAAUAUCUGACACGUAAAGAUUCUCAUUAAGCCAGUCAAUGAAGCCUGGAAAUACAAUUUUCGUGCAAACUGUCGCUAUCAUAACUUACACGAAACUUCAGAUGGUGCCCUGUAAGCGGUGUGAUUAAAACCAUUCAUCUUCCCUGUCA